rnacentral:lncRNA from 1 species
CUCAAGCGAGAUAUUCACGCUUGAGCGAGAAUGCUCCAGUGACAUUUUUGGAAAUCACUGCCUUUCUCGCUUAAGCGAGAUAUUCUCGCUCAAGUAAGAAUAUGUUAGACAAAUUGGACCUCUUUUUAUGUUUUAUCACUUAGCCCAUCAGCGCGACACAUGAAGUCACCUAACCCUAGUAAAUUAGGUUAAAUAGUGGGCUAGAGGCUUAGCCCUGGUGUACGAGAUUGAGAGAAAACACCAUAAAAUGAAUUGUAAGCCAAUUGGGAGAAUGGAAGGUGCUAGAAGUAUGCGUGGCUAAUUCUACCCUUUGG